rnacentral:rRNA from 1 species
CCUACGGGUGGCAGCAGUCGGGAAUCUUCCGCAAUGGGCGAAAGCCUGACGGAGCGACGCCGCGUGAGUGAUGAAGGCCUUCGGGUUGUAAAGCUCUGUGGGGAGAGAAGAAUAAGUUCAAGCCAAUACCUUGAAUGAUGACGGUAUCUCCUUAGCAAGCACCGGCUAACUCUGUGCCAGCAGCCGCGGUAAGACAGAGGGUGCAAACGUUGUUCGGAUUUACUGGGCGUAAAGCGCGUGUAGGCGGCUUUGCAAGUCGGAUGUGAAAGCCCACGGCUCAACCGUGGAAGUGCAUCCGAAACUGCAUGGCUGGAGUCCCGGAGAGGAAGGUGGAAUGCUUGGUGUAGAGGUGAAAUUCGUAGAUAUCAAGCAGAACACCUGCGGCGAAGGCGGCCUUCUGGACGGUGACUGACGCUGAGACGCGAAAGCGUGGGGAGCAAACAGGAUUAGAUACCCGAGUAGUC